rnacentral:lncRNA from 1 species
GAGGGUCUGAAUGGGGGGGUCUGUUAUUCUGUAAACAUUUAAUUUUCACCCCUUUUUUCUCUAAUCUUCAAAAAAUAAGUCUAUUCUUUAAAAGUGAUUUUUUACGCAUUAUUCUCUAAUUUUUUCCCCAAUUUUCUUUAAUCUUUAAAAAAAAGUAAAAAAACAUUCUUUUAAAUAAAUGAGAACGGUGAUUUCCAAACAACAGCAAGGCUUUCAUUUUUUUCUUAACAAUGACGUGUUGAUGUGUAUUGUUCUGCAUGAUUAAAGUGCUUGUUCCUUGAAGUAACAAGUCAAAAUUCUCAUCAGUUCUUUCCAGUGAUUCUGACUACAUAUAAGAAGAUGUGGUGUAAUUGCCAAUGAGAAAACUCUUCAAAGAGACCAAAUGACACAUAAAUUAACAACUAUAGGUCACUUUACGGCAUUUAACAAUGAAUAAAAGCCAACCGCAUAGUCAGCUAUAAACAGGGCCGGAUUCAGGUUUUUUGAAAGAGGGGUCGUAGUUUGUAAAGAUCGGCGAGCGGAGCGAGCCGAAAUUUUUUUUGGGCCCCUUUUUAGGACUAAAAACAUUAAAUAAGUGAAAUAUGCACUUUUUAAACGGUUCCUGGCGUGGGGCAUGCAUAUUUUGUAGUUGCUGGUAAGGUGUAAGAGUUGGACAUUUUAGAUGCUGUAUCUCCCUUUGGAUCCAAGAGCUAUGUACUGAUACAUUUAAUGUGUGAUUUGUCAGUAAAACAUAGGCAUGGAAAAUCCUGCACGUUUGUUGUAAGUUAAGUUAGAAUAACCUCACAGAGUUCUUGUUGUUAACAAGAUAUACGCUGGGC